rnacentral:lncRNA from 1 species
GGACGGAGUUCGGUUCUUGUAGGAGUUUGGAAGGAGGCCGCUUACUGUAGAAGUUCGGAUGGAGACCGAUCACCCUGGAAGCCUGGACGGAGAUCGCUUGUUGUAGAAGUUCGGAUGGAGAUCGCUUGUCGUAGAAGUUUGGAUGGAAAUCGAUCGCCGUGGAAGCUCGGAUGGAGACCGCUUAUCGUAGAAGUUAGGAUGGAGACCGAUCGCCGUGGAAGCCCGGAUGGAGAAUGCUUAUCGUAGAAGUUCGGAUGGAGAUCGAUCACCGUGGAAGCCCGAAUGGAGACUGCUUAUCGUAGAAGCUCGGAUGG